CCUACGGGAGGCAGCAGUGAGGAAUAUUGGUCAAUGGGCGCGAGCCUGAACCAGCCAAGUAGCGUGAAGGAUGACUUCCCUACGGAUUGUAAACUUCAUUUGUAGCGGAUUAAAAUGAAGCUCGUUUGCCUUUUUGUAUGUACUUUAUAAAUGAGGGUCGGCUAACUCCUUGCCAGCAGCCGCGGUAAUACGGAGGAUCCUAGCGUUAUCCGGAUUUAUUGGGUUUAAAGGGAGCGUAGAUGGGUUGUUAAGUCAGUUGUGAAAGUUUGCGGCUCAACCUUAAAAUUGCAAUUGAUACUGGCAGUCUUGAGUACAGUGGAGGUAGGCGGAAUUCGUGGUGUAGCGGUGAAAUGCGUAGAUAUCACGAAGAACUCCGAUGGCGAAGGCAGCUUACUAAACUGCCACUGACAUUGAUGCUCGAAAGUGUGGGUAUCAAACAGGAUUAGAUACCCGAGUAGUC
rnacentral:rRNA from 1 species